rfam:Trichomalopsis sarcophagae strain Alberta scaffold174, whole genome shotgun sequence.
GGCGUGUUGGCAGUGUGGUUAGCUGGUUGUGUAGCUUAUAGAAAGCACGACCGCUAUCGGCACUGCAAUUAUGAC